AUACGUAGGGGACGAGCGUUGUCCGGAAUUACUGGGCGUAAAGGGCGCGCAGGCGGAUAUUUAAGUCAGCUGUAAAAGGCAUGAGCUCAACUCAUGUAUGCGGUUGAAACUGGGUAUCUAGAGUGCUGGAGAGGUAGGCGGAAUUCCCGGUGUAGCGGUGAAAUGCGUAGAUAUCGGGAAGAACACCAGUGGCGAAGGGGGCUUAGGGGCCAGCAACUGACGCUGAGGCGCGAGAGCGGGGGGAGCAAACGGGAGUAGAUACCCCGGGAGUCCUGGCCGUAAACGAUGAAUGCUAGGUGUGGGUGUGGAGAGGCAUCCGUGCCGGAGUUAACGCGAUAAGCAUUCCGCCUGGGGAGUACGAUCGCAAGAUUGAAACUCAAAUGAAUUGACGGGG
rnacentral:rRNA from 1 species